GGAUCUCCAUCGGUGAGAGACGCUUAAUGGGCAGUCGAUUGCAGUUAACAUUAUGUGGGUAAGGACUGGGGUUUGGUAGAAGAGGUGGAGAAUUUGUGAAGGCCGGUUUAAACGAUCCAUUCCGCUCCAACAAAAGUCGUUGUUCAUGAGUAUGGGCCAAUUCAAAAGCUUCAUCCAAUGUUUUUGGUUUAUGGACCAGAACAACGGUUUGAAUAUCUGCG
rnacentral:misc_RNA from 1 species